rnacentral:rRNA from 1 species
UACAGAGGUCUCAACCGUUGUUCGGAUUCAUUGGGCGUAAAGGGUGCGUAGGCGGUCGUGCAAGUCGGAUGUGAAAUCUCAGGGCUCAACCCUGAAACUGCAUUCGAUACUGCGCGGCUAGAGUGCUGGAGGGGAGACUGGAGUUUACGGUGUAGCAGUGAAAUGCGUAGAUAUCGUAAGGAAGACCAGUGGCGAAGGCGAGUCUCUGGACAGCAACUGACGCUGAGGCACGAAGGCCAGGGGAGCAAACGGG